CUUGUCCAAGAUCACCCAGCAGGCCAGUGAUAAAGCAGAGAACAUAUGGAGUCCCAGUCCAGUGCUCUAUUUACUAGGCCAUACUGCCAUCCAUUGUAGUAAGUGUCCUGCAGAAAGGGAGAGGAAAGGAUGAUGCUUCAGAUUUUUAAAUUGCAUCAGGUCUCAACGACAAAAUGUGGAGGUAAGCCUGCCUCUCUCUCAUUUAUACAUUCUGUUGGGUCUAUGUACUGUAGUACCUGUGCUAAAAUCCCACUGUUCUCUGACUUUUGCAUUCCCUACAGUUAAGAAUAGAAUUGAAGGCCUCAUUUUGGAAGUUUCUUGUUUAUGUGUGUCUGCAUAUGAACUAGAAGUAGAUGAUCCUGGGAAAACCCAUCUGCUGUGUGGUAACUAGUAGAGAAGCAAAGCUGACACAUUGAGCUAUGUCACAGGUGACAGCAGAUCUGAAAUGAAGAUGGUGGAUAAGGGAAUAGUAGACAAUGCCAUAUCCUCCGGCUGGCAGAUGCUGAAGUUUGCUAACCACCUGAAUUAGGCCUGGAUGCUUUGGUACAUUUCAAAAAGAGGCAGCUUUACUGAAAGUGACAGAUGACUUAUGGACCAGGAACUCUGAGCAAGAUUGCCUUUGUUGUAUAUGUAUAUGUGUGAAUUAUUAAGCAGCUGAUGCACAAGCU